GUUGUAUGGUUAAGUGACGAAGCGUAGACGGUGGAUGCCUAGGCAGUUGGAGGCGAUGAAGGACGUACUAACUUGCGAUAAGCCAUGAUGAGGCAGUAAGAGCCACUUGAGUCAUGGAUUUCCGAAUGGGGCAACCCAGUGUGCUUGCACACUAUCCUGCACUGAAUACAUAGGUGUAGGAGGCAAACCCGGAGAACUGAAACAUCUAAGUACCCGGAGGAACAGAAAUCAACCGAGAUUUCCUUAGUAGCGGCGAGCGAACGGGAAGUAGCCCUUAAGCAAUCAUGGUGUUAGUGGAAUGUGCUGGAAAGCACAACGAUACAGGGUGAUAGUCCCGUACACGACGGCAACAUGGCUGUGAAAACGAGUAGGUCGGGACACGUGUUAUCUUGACUGAAUAUGGGGGGACCAUCCUCCAAGGCUAAAUACUCCCAACUGACCGAUAGUGAACUAGUACCGUGAGGGAAAGGCGAAAAGAACCCUGGUGAAGGGAGUGAAAUAGAACCUGAAACCGUCUACGUACAAGCAGUAGGAGCCUUCUUCGUGAGGGUGACUGCGUACCUUUUGUAUAAUGGGUCAGCGACUUAUAUUUUGUAGCAAGGUUAACCGUAUAGGGGAGCCGUAGGGAAACCGAGUCUUAACUGGGCGCUUAGUUGCAAGGUAUAGACCCGAAACCGGGCGAUCUAUCCAUGAGCAGGUUGAAGGUUGAGUAACAUCAACUGGAGGACCGAACCCACAUCUGUUGAAAAAGAUGGGGAUGACUUGUGGAUCGGAGUGAAAGGCUAAUCAAGCCCGGAGAUAGCUGGUUCUCCCCGAAAGCUAUUUAGGUAGCGCCUCGGACGAAUACCACUGGGGGUAGAGCACUGUUUGGGCUAGGGGGUCAUCCCGACUUACCAACCCCAUGCAAACUCCGAAUACCAGUGAGUACUAUCCGGGAGACACACGGCGGGUGCUAACGUCCGUCGUGAAGAGGGAAACAACCCAGACCGCCAGCUAAGGUCCCAAAGUCAUGGCUAAGUGGGAAACGAUGUGGGAAGGCUCAGACAGCUAGGAGGUUGGCUUAGAAGCAGCCACCCUUUAAAGAAAGCGUAAUAGCUCACUAGUCGAGUCGGCCUGCGCGGAAGAUGUAACGGGGCUAAGCCAUGCACCGAAGCUGCGGCAGCAUACUUGUAUGCUGGGUAGGGGAGCGUUCUGUAAGCCGUUGAAGGUGGAUUGAGAAGUCUGCUGGAGGUAUCAGAAGUGCGAAUGCUGACAUGAGUAACGAUAAUGCGGGUGAAAAACCCGCACGCCGGAAGACCAAGGUUUCCUAUCCCAUGCUAAUCAGGGUAGGGUAAGUCGGCCCCUAAGGCGAGGCCGAGAGGCGUAGUCGAUGGGAAUCAGGUUAAUAUUCCUGAACCGACAUGUACUGCGAUGGGGGGACGGAGAAGGCUAGGCAAGCCGGGUGUUGGUGAUCCCGGUGAAAGUAUGUAGGUUGGUGGCUUAGGAAAAUCCGGGCCGCUAAGACUGAGAUACGAGACGAGCAUCUACGGAUGCGAAGUUGUUGAUGCCCUGCUUCCAGGAAAAGCCUCUAAGCUUCAGGUACAUGUUGACCGUACCCGAAACCGACACAGGUGGUCAGGUAGAGAAUACUAAGGCGCUUGAGAGAACUCGGGUGAAGGAACUAGGCAAAAUAGUACCGUAACUUCGGGAGAAGGUACGCCAGAGCUGGUGACUCCCUUGCGGGAUGAGCUGGAGCUGGCCGCAGUGACCAGGUGGCUGGGACUGUUUAUUAAAAACACAGCACUGUGCAAACACGAAAGUGGACGUAUACGGUGUGACACCUGCCCGGUGCCGGAAGGUUAAUUGAUGGGGUUAGCGUAAGCGAAGCUCUUGAUCGAAGCCCCGGUAAACGGCGGCCGUAACUAUAACGGUCCUAAGGUAGCGAAAUUCCUUGUCGGGU
rnacentral:rRNA from 2 species